rnacentral:lncRNA from 1 species
CGCGCGCCGGCUCGCGCAACAGGCACUUCCGGUAGGGGACGGAGGGGGGUUGGGGGCGGAGGCCGCAGCUCCCGGAAGCGGAAGGGGGGAGCUCCGGUGGCCCGAGGGACAGUUUCCGGUUGGCUAAAGGGUGAAGUCGCCCCACUGGACCGCUUCCGCCCAAAGUGACACUCCUCUGCUUCCCAAUUUUACUCUUCUACACUCAAGACUUCUUCAUGUACCAACGGGAUGGGGGUGGGAGUGCGAUACUGUUGAUGUUCUUCUGCCGCUGCCCAGUUGUUUGUCUUCCUGACGUGCAAAAAGAAAUUUCAGAAGCUGUGGGGGUGUGUGUGAAAUGGUUAGGGUCCUCCGGCCUGAGGAUGCCCAGCAGACGGAGCGGAGAACUGGCCGGGCAGGCGAGAAGAGGAACCGUCUAGCACGCUUGGACUCAGAGGGUCUUUCAUACUGACCAUCUACCCUUUGGAACUCAGAGGGCAGGUCCUCCGGGCAUGCCUCUUCCUGUAAGUCGCCAUGGGGACCUUCUAGCCCUUUACACUCGGAGAGCAGGUCCCCUGGGCCCGCCUCUUCCUGUUCAGUUUCCAUGGCGAUGACAGGAUGCUAAAGGCCGGUGGAUCGGGCUUUUUCUUCCCUGCCGUGUCUCCCCAAUUUUUGCCCCACCUGCCCCUGCAGCACCCAGAAUCUGUUCCGUUUGCCCGCCGUUGGGAGACCCUGGCCUGCACAGAACGCUUGGACGCCCGGGGACGGCGGCUGGCCCACAUCUGCUGUACGGCCAAGGCAAGGUCACUCUGGGCAGCCUCAGUCUGAGGACCAGAACACGCAGAGUGCCUUCAGUGGACCUGUCAGAUAAUGUCUGUGCGGACCCCAGGCUCUCCUUCUGUUCCUCUCAUGCCUGCGUGGCGGUUGGACUUGCUGCACCCGACUGCAGGAACUGAGACGAUCACGGGCCUACAAGCAUCGCCAGGGUAGGCUGAUUUAGAAAGAUAAAUGACUGGAUUUCCCACAACGGAUUUCACCGGAGGAAUGAGAUUCAA